rnacentral:rRNA from 1 species
AUCGAAAGCUUGCUUUUGAUGGGCGUCGACCGGCGCACGGGUGAGUAACGCGUAUCCAACCUGCCCAUCACUUGGGGAUAACCUUGCGAAAGUAAGACUAAUACCCAAUGAUAUCCCACGAAGGCAUCCGAAUGGGAUUAAAGAUUUAUCGGUGAUGGAUGGGGAUGCGUCUGAUUAGCUUGUUGGCGGGGUAACGGCCCACCAAGGCAACGAUCAGUAGGGGUUCUGAGAGGAAGGUCCCCCACAUUGGAACUGAGACACGGUCCAAACUCCUACGGGAGGCAGCAGUGAGGAAUAUUGGUCAAUGGGCGAGAGCCUGAACCAGCCAAGUAGCGUGCAGGAUGACGGCCCUAUGGGUUGUAAACUGCUUUUAUAAGGGAAUAAAGUGGGUCACGUGUGACUUUUUGCAUGUACCUUAUGAAUAAGGACCGGCUAAUUCCGUGCCAGCAGCCGCGGUAAUACGGAAGGUCCGGGCGUUAUCCGGAUUUAUUGGGUUUAAAGGGAGCGUAGGCCGGAGAUUAAGCGUGUUGUGAAAUGUAGAGGCUCAACCUCUGCACUGCAGCGCGAACUGGUCUUCUUGAGUACGCACAACGUGGUCGGAAUUCGUGGUGUAGCGGUGAAAUGCUUAGAUAUCACGAAGAACUCCGAUUGCGAAGGCAGCUCACGGGAGCGCAACUGACGCUGAAGCUCGAAAGUGCGGGUAUCGAACAGGAUUAGAUACCCUGGUAGUCCGCGCGGUAAACAAUGGAUGCCCGCUGUUGGCCUGAAUAGGUCAGCGGCCAAGCGAAAGCAUUAAGCAUCCCACCUGGGGAGUACGCCGGCAGCGGUGCAACUCAAAGGAAUUGAC